UACGUAGGGUGCAAGCGUUGUCCGGAAUUACUGGGCGUAAAGCGCGCGUAGGCGGACCUGCAAGUCGGGGGUGAAAGCCCGAGGCUCAACCUCGGAACUGCCUUCGAUACUGCGGGUCUCGAGUCCGGGAGAGGUGAGUGGAACUGCGAGUGUAGAGGUGAAAUUCGUAGAUAUUCGCAAGAACACCAGUGGCGAAGGCGGCUCACUGGCCCGGUACUGACGCUGAGGUGCGAAAGCGUGGGGAGCAAACAGG
rnacentral:rRNA from 1 species